rnacentral:rRNA from 1 species
UACCAGCACCCCGAGUGGUCGGGACGUUUUAUUGGGCCUAAAGCAUCCGUAGCCGGUUCUACAAGUCUUCCGUUAAAUCCACCUGCUUAACAGAUGGGCUGCGGAAGAUACUAUAGAGCUAGGAGGCGGGAGAGGCAAAGCGGUACUCGAUGGGUAGGGGUAAAAUCCGUUGAUCCAUUGAAGACCACCAGUGGCGAAGGCGGCUUGCCAGAACGCGCUCGGACGGUGAGGGAUGAAAGCUGGGGGAGCAAACCGG